rnacentral:rRNA from 1 species
GGAUUAGAUACCCUGGUAGUCCACGCCGUAAACGAUGAUCACUCGUUGUUGGCGAUAUACUGUCAGUGACUAAGCGAAAGCGUUAAGUGAUCCACCUGGGGAGUACGAUCGCAAGGUUGAAACUCAAAGGAAUUGACGGGGGCCCGCACAAGCGGUGGAGCAUGUGGUUUAAUUCGAUGAUACGCGAGGAACCUUACCAGGGCUUAAAUGGACCUUGACCGUUCCGGAAACGGAACUUUCCUUCGGGACGAGGUUCAAGGUGCUGCAUGGUUGUCGUCAGCUCGUGCCG